GGUAUUGAAAUAAGAUUUUAAUUGAAUGCUAAGAGAAUGGAAUUACAGAAAACAGCUUUUUUUAAAUUAAAAAUUGAAUUUUUUUUAAUUUGUGCAGAAACAAUUAUCAAUAUUAAGGACAAGAAGACCCUAUGAAUUUAUAAAUUUAUAAAAAUAGUAAUGACUAUAAAAUAAAUUUUGGCUGGGGCGGCAAAAAAAUAUCAUUAACUUUUUGAAAAUAAAAUGAUCCAUUAUUAAUGAUUAUAUGUUAAAUACUCUAGGGAUAACAGCGUUAUAUUUUUUGAUAGACCAUAUUGACAAAAAAGUUUGCGACCUCGAUGUUGGAUUAGGAUACUUUUUUAAUGAAGAUAU
rnacentral:rRNA from 1 species